GACAGAGGGUGCAAACGUUGUUCGGAAUUACUGGGCGUAAAGCGCGUGUAGGCGGCAGGGCAAGUCGGAUGUGAAAGCCCACGGCUCAACCGUGGAAGUGCACCCGAAACUGCCUCGCUAGAGUCUCGGAGAGGAAGGUGGAAUGCUUGGUGUAGAGGUGAAAUUCGUAGAUAUCAAGCGGAACACCGGUGGCGAAGGCGGCGACCUGGGUAGAUACUGACGCUGAGGUGCGAAAGCGUGGGGAGCAAACAGGG
rnacentral:rRNA from 1 species